AUGUACAUCAGACAACAGGAGUUUUACUGGAGUGCUUUGUUCUUUAUACAUUUGACAAAUAGAAAUAUACACAAUACCUUAAAAAAAGAGGAUGCAGACAAGAAUAUACCAGUCUUUAUGGCAGACAUUUCUCCUCAGCUCUGGAGGAGAAAGAUUUCCAUCCUUUUGCUACCUACAUAAUCUCUAUUAACAAGCCUCAACAUGGUGGCACAGAUUGAAGACUAGUACCAGUUUAAAACAUUGAGACUGGCUGGUAUACAGGUGUACAAGCUCAUUCCAUUAGACAGCAAGACUAGAACAGAUGCUCAGAUACAAACAGCUGGAUCCAUCAGUUUAAAAAUGAUAUCACUAGAUCAUGAUGAGAGGUCAGUGACGACAAAGCAUCCAUCAAACCUGGGAGUGAGUGCGAGACUGGUUCUUUGCUGCUAAGAAGAUGGAAGAGACAAGCUGCAUUCUACAUUGCUACUAGCCAGAACAAUGCAAGAAAGUCUGUCUCCAAUCCCUCAGGUCUGUCUGAAAUAGUAACAGAGCUGAUAAGUUAUUGCCAUUAUGUUUAAACCACAAGCAAGACAAAGACUAAAACAAUUCUGCUGAUAUGUUAAAAGCAAUCCCCCAACCCCCACCAGCGUUUAAACUACUCAUGAGGUAUUAGAUACAAAUAUACACACACACACACACACAAAGUCCAAACAGAUUUUUUUAACUGAACCAGUUAUUAGCAGACAAGAUGCACUGGGUUUUAUCAUAAGGUCUGGUUAAGGCCUUAACAUGUGUCUUUCUUCCUUUAGUGUCUACAGACUUGUUUUACGGUGGAAACUACCAGCACUUUUUCUUAGACCUGUCAGCUCCUCAGAUGCCUUAGGCCCCCCUGGGGCUUUUCCAUAAAGUUGCUGGAUUGCCACUUUCCAUGAAAGUGGCAAGUCAACCUGCCUUGCAACCAGUUCCUCUUGUAGACAAAGGUUAGGUAGGACAGAGACAACACUCAGCACUGAACAAGUUGCAUGGGAUACCUUAGACCUUACAAACCAUCUUACCCUUUAUUAAACCCUACUACUGUGUUACAGUCAGAAGCACAUCUUCUUGCCCAGAAGACUCAAAACCCAUGAAAUACUGUCUGAAGAGAGGCAUCAUUUCCCUGCCCCCAUGCUUAUGCUUUCAAGUCAGCCAUUUGAUUUCAGAC
rnacentral:lncRNA from 1 species